GGUCGUAUGGAGUAGUGGUCAACUUAGGAGAUUUUGAUGAACGAUCAGCAAAUCAGUUGAAUCUAUCAAAUUUUCUCUUGCCCCGGGUUCGAAUCCCGGUAUGACCU